rnacentral:rRNA from 1 species
UACAGAGGUCUCAAGCGUUGUUCGGAUUCAUUGGGCGUAAAGGGUGUGUAGGUGGCACUGUAAGUCGGGUGUGAAAUCCUGAGGCUUAACCUCGGAACUGCAUUCGAUACUGCGGUGCUUGAGGACUGGAGAGGAGACUGGAAUUCAUGGUGUAGCAGUGAAAUGCGUAGAGAUCAUGAGGAAGACCAGUGGCGAAGGCGGGUCUCUGGACAGUUCCUGACACUGAGGCACGAAGGCCAGGGGAGCAAACGGG